rnacentral:rRNA from 1 species
UACAGAGGUCUCAAGCGUUGUUCGGAUUCAUUGGGCGUAAAGGGUGCGUAGGCGGCGCGGUAAGUCGGGUGUGAAAUCUUGGAGCUUAACUCCGAAACUGCAUUCGAUACUGCCGUGCUUGAGGACUGGAGAGGAGACUGGAAUUUACGGUGUAGCGGUGAAAUGCGUAGAUAUCGUGAGGAAGACCAGUGGCGAAGGCGGAUCUCUGGACAGUUACUGACACUGAGGCACGAAGGCCAGGGGAGCAAACGGG